rnacentral:rRNA from 1 species
GAUGAACGCUGACAGAAUGCUUAACACAUGCAAGUCGAUUCGAUUUACCUUCGGGUAUUGAGGAUGGCGGACGGGUGAGUAACGCGUAAGGAACUUGCCUCUUGGUCUGGGACAACUGUUGGAAACGACAGCUAAUACCGGAUAUUAUGAGAUUCUCGCAUGGGAAACUUAUGAAAGCUAUAUGCGCCAAGAGAGAGCCUUGCGUUCCAUUAGCUAGUUGGUGGGGUAACGGCCCACCAAGGCGACGAUGGAUAGCCGGCCUGAGAGGGUGAACGGCCACAAGGGGACUGAGACACGGCCCUUACUCCUACGGGAGGCAGCAGUGGGGAAUAUUGGACAAUGGGCCACAAGCCUGAUCCAGCAAUUCUGUGUGCACGAUGAAGGUCUUCGGAUUGUAAAGUGCUUUCAGUUGGGAAGAAGAAAGUGACGGUACCAACAGAAGAAGCGACGGCUAAAUACGUGCCAGCAGCCGCGGUAAUACGUAUGUCGCAAGCGUUAUCCGGAUUUAUUGGGCGUAAAGCGCGUCUAGGCGGAAAAAUAAGUCUGAUGUUAAAAUGCGGGGCUCAACUCCGUAUUGNGUUGGAAACUGUUUUUCUAGAGUACUGGAGAGGUGGGCGGAACUACAAGUGUAGAGGUGAAAUUCGUAGAUAUUUGUAGGAAUGCCGAUGGAGAAGUCAGCUCACUGNACAGAUACUGACGCUAAA